AAAGGAAUUGACGGGGGCCCGCACAAGCGGCGGAGCAUGCGGAUUAAUUCGAUGCAACGCGAAGAACCUUACCAAGGCUUGACAUACACCGGAACAUUCCAGAGAUGGGGUGGCCUUUUGGCUGGUGUACAGGUGGUGCAUGGUUGUCGUCAGCUCGUGUCGUGAGAUGUUGGGUUAAGUCCCGCAACGAGCGCAACCCUCGUUCCAUGUUGCCAGCACUUCGGGUGGGGACUCAUGGGAGACUGCCGGGGUCAACUCGGAGGAAGGUGGGGAUGACGUCAAAUCAUCAUGCCCCUUAUGUCUUGGGCUUCACGCAUGCUACAAUGGCCGGUACAGAGUGCUGCGAUACUGUGAGGUGGAGCGAAUCACUUAAAGCCGGUCUCAGUUCGGAUUGGGGUCUGCAACUCGACCCCAUGAAGUCGGAGUCGCUAGUAAUCGCAGAUCAGCAACGCUGCGGUGAAUACGUUCCCGGGCCUUGUACACACCGCCCGU
rnacentral:rRNA from 1 species